GACGAACGCUGGCGGCGUGCUUAACACAUGCAAGUCGAACGGAAAGGCCCUGCUUUUGUGGGGUGCUCGAGUGGCGAAAGGGUGAGUAACACGUGAGUAACCUGCCCUUGACUUUGGGAUAACUUCAGGAAACUGGGGCUAAUACCGGAUAGGAGCUCCUGCUGCAUGGUGGGGGUUGGAAAGUUUCGGCGGUUGGGGGUGGACUCGCGGCUUAUCAGCUUGUUGGUGGGGUAGUGGCUUACCAAGGCUUUGACGGGUAGCCGGCCUGAGAGGGUGACCGGCCACAUUGGGACUGAGAUACGGCCCAGACUCCUACGGGAGGCAGCAGUGGGGAAUAUUGCACAAUGGGCGGAAGCCUGAUGCAGCAACGCCGCGUGCGGGAUGACGGCCUUCGGGUUGUAAACCGCUUUCGCCUGUGACGAAGCGUGAGUGACGGUAAUAGGUAAAGAAGCACCGGCUAACUACGUG
rnacentral:rRNA from 1 species